rnacentral:rRNA from 1 species
GGCGUUGUAAGCUUGCCUCCGUUGUCGGGGGCGGGUGAUCUACGCGGAAGACAGCGUCAGGUGGGGAGUUUGGCUGGGGCGGCACAUCGUGUUAAACGAUAACACAGGGUGUCCUAAGGUGAGCUCAAUGAGAACAGAAAUCUCAUGUAGAACAAAAGGGUAAAAGCUCACUUGAUUUUGAUUUUCAGUAUGAAUACAAACCGUGAAAGCGUGGCCUAUCGAUCCUUUAGGUCUUUUCGAAUUUUAAGCUAGAGGUGUCAGAAAAGUUACCACAGGGAUAACUGGCUUGUGGCAGCCAAGCGUUCAUAGCGACGUUGCUUUUUGAUUCUUCGAUGUCGGCUCUUCCUAUCAUUGCGAAGCAGAAUUCGCCAAGUGUUGGAUUGUUCACCCACCAAUAGGGAACGUGAGCUGGGUUUAGACCGUCGUGAGACAGGUUAGUUUUACCCUAUGAUGAGUUCGUUGUCGCGACAGUUAAUCCAACUUAGUACGAGAGGAACCGUUGGUUCAGAUAAUUGGUAAAAUGCGUUGCUGAAA